GACGAGGGGUCCUAGCGUUGUUCGGAAUCACUGGGCGUAAAGCGCAUGUAGGCGGCUUUUCAAGUCAGGUGUGAAAGCCCACGGCUUAACCGUGGCAGUGCAUUUGAAACUGUAAAGCUUGAGUAUGGGAGAGGAUGGUAGAAUUCCUGGUGUAGUGGUGAAAUACGUAGAUAUCAGGAGGAAUACCGGUGGCGAAGGCGGCCAUCUGGCCUAAUACUGACGCUGAGAUGCGAAAGUGCGGGGAUCAAACAGG
rnacentral:rRNA from 1 species